GCAGCCAUGGUACUGGAGAUGCUCUAAUGAAGACUUUACACACUUGCCCCAGACUCCUCUUCUGGGAAUGUAUUUCUGUAUUUCUCCAAGACUCUCAGCCUCCCUAUUCAGAUCUUUUGAAAACCUCUUUCAAAGGAGGCAGACAUACCCACGUGCUAUAUUUCUUCCCAGGGAUUGGAAACAGACACCCCGGGCAGUUCUUGGGCAAGGGGUCAUUUAUGGCCCUGCUGAGGGAAGGGACUCAGUUCUGAGCCUGGGCCGUCGCGUUGCCCCGUCUCCCCGCCUGGCUCCUCCUCGGCCCCUUCUCUCUCUCAGCCCACACCAUGGUGACUCAGACUGUCUCCAGCAGAGGUGGGGCAGUGGAGUGUGUGCCAGGCUGGGGAGCAUGAGCUGCCAGUGACUGCAAGGAAGAAAAGCCUUUCUCCCAACCUGCCCUCUUCCUGGACUUGUCUUGGUUUCACCGGUUCCAGAGGGGUCCGAAGCCCUGGGCCUGGAACGCCUUUCCCCCUGGAGCUACAGUAGUUCUGACCAUAUCCCCAAUGCUCAGAGAAUAUCACUGACACACACCUCCUGACAUCCUGGCAACUUUGUGGGAAUGUGUGGUUUCAAGAUGUUUCCUUUUUCGUUUGUGCUUCAUGGCUCAGCACUUCAGAGAGUGACUUAAAAUCAGGUGCCUUCCUACCAGGAACUCUGCUGCCAGAGGUUCAAGUGAUGACAGCCAAGAAGCAGCACUUCAGAGAGUGACUUAAAAUCGGGUGCCUUCCUCCCUGGAACUCUGCUGCUAGAGGAAGAAUCAAGCCAAUUCAAGAACAAGCGACUGAAGAGGCUCUCUCCUCACUCCGUCACUCCCUCACUCACUCACUGGCCUGGCCAGUGCUUAAGUACAGCAGGAGGGCCAUUAUGAUUUCACAGGUUAUUGGUCAACAGAAAAGAAGUUGUGGCUGCACAAAACCAUCUCCAGGCUGCUUUCCUACAUGAAGACUCAGCAGUGAACAAUGCCCUCGGGUGGCAAGCAGUUCUCUGCUUUAUUUGGAGUUGAGAGCUGUCCUCCAGGGCCCCUGCCUGGAGCUGAGAACCCUUUUCUGUACAGAAGAGUGGAGAGGUGGUGAGCUGGAGAUCUGGCUGAGGAGCUGGCUGGGGCGGGGUGGGAGGGACCGAGCUCUGUUUCUGGUGAUCUCUCUGUGUCAAAGCGCCUGAAGCGUCGUGUUGGUGGCCGGCCCCAGCCAAGACUUUACAGGGCUCUUCCGGCUCUUCUGGGAGCUUGGAGGAAGGAGCAGGAGCCUCAGAUGACUUGGAGACUUAGGAGAGAAGCCUGGGCCAGGCCCAGGCAGGGCUGAGUCAGGUUGCUGUGACCGGGACAGUGGCCUUUGCCGACUGUGUGCGGUCCACACCCAGGCCUACUUGUGCAGAGCAUCUGCGCAUUCAUCCAGACACAGACAAGUCCCUCCUCCCACCGUCUCUCCACGGGUGGCUGGGUGGGCUUUCGGGCCCUGCACCUCCGUGCGGGUUUCCGCUCACCUGGGCAGGAGGAGAAUGAAGGUCUCCUUUUCAGAUCCUUAAUGUCCCUACAGGUGUAGAUUACUUUUGUGUUUGGCAGUCUGAAAAAAUAAUCUAUGUUGAGUUUUUGUGAAAUUAAUUUUAUUUCAAAACUCAGUAAUUUUGAAAUAAUUCAUUAUGUAAGUGUUUUUUUUGGUGAUGCUUUUGAUAAAAUGAAUGCCUCUUUAAUGUGAAAUAUUAGUAGCUAGCUGACCCUUUGUGUUCAUCAGAAGGAUUGCUGGCUGGGUUUGCUUCAAGGCCCACCUGUUGUAAUGACUGUCUACACUACUGGUUUUCAAACCAUGUUCCAUGAGCCUCUUCUGGGGCUGGAGUGUGGGAAGAAGGGACAGGCAGCCUUUCCCCUGCCUCCCACCCAAGCAGUUCAAUUGGUUGCACUGCUGAAAAAAAACAGUCACCAACUGCCUUUGUGAAUUUGCCCAUUUCCCAGUUUUCAGGCCUGUGAUUCCCUGCUCCGAUUCGCUCAUGUCUGGAAGGCCGGCAGUGAGACCUAAGUUGGCCAUCUCCAGUAGCUGCACAGUGAGGAAAAUGAGAGGCCAGUAUGUUUUCCAGACACACUAAGAAACGGUUGGAAUAGCGGCAAAGGAACAGAUGCUGUGGAAGUCACUCUCGGUGUCAAGUGGCAGGGGGCCUUGCAUCAGUCUUCUACUUAGGAGUCCUGCCACUCAGAAGGGCCGCUCCUCUGGCCUGGCGGUUGGUGGGUUCCCUCAGGUGGGCUCAGACUUGUCUGUCAGGGGCUGCCACAAGGUUUAGAUUUUUCCGAAGGAAGAGGUUCAUGAAAGUUGGAGAAUUUCAGUGAUAUAAGAGGGAGUUUGGAAGUAAAUGUGCCAAGAGAUUGAGGCAGAAAUAAAAAAGGAGGGUGAGAAAUGUUACCCAUCCAUCCCAGCUAUUGUGAAACUGAAUAUAGGCUUUUG